rnacentral:tRNA from 1 species
GCCUGAGUGGCUCAGUCGGUUGAGCGUCCGACUUCGGCUCAGGUCAUGAUCUCACAAUUUGUGGGUUCGAGCCCUGCAUCAGGCU